GCCCUGGCUGGGCGGUCUGCCUCACGGUAUGUACUGUCUGGCUGGGGCUUACCUCUUGGUGAGCUUGCAUGUCGUUUACUCGGCGUGUAAGGGAACCAGGACUUUUACCUUGAGAAAAUUAGAGUGUUCAAAGCAGGCCUUUGCUCGAAUAUGUUAGCAUGGAAUAAUAAAACAGGACGU
rnacentral:rRNA from 1 species